rnacentral:rRNA from 1 species
GGGUCAGUAGGUUGGUCGUGCCACCGGUGCGUACUGGUCUCACUGAUUCCUCCUUCCUGAAGAACCGUAAUGCCAUUAAUUCGGUGUUGCGGGGAAACAGGACUGUUACUUUGAAAAAAUUAGAGUGUUUAAAGCAAGCUAACGCUUGAAUACAUUAGCAUGGAAUAAUGAAAUAGGACGAUCGAUCCUAUUUUGUUGGUUUCUAGGAUUGACGUAAUGAUUAAUAGGGAGUUGGG